rnacentral:rRNA from 1 species
UACCAGCUCUCCGAGUGGUGGGGACGCUUAUUGGGCCUAAAGCAUUCGUAGCCGGCUGGGCAAGUCCUCCGUUAAAUCCAACGAUUCAAUCGUUGGCCUGCAGGGGAUACUGUUUGGCUAGGAGGCGGUAGAGGCCGACGGUAUUUCCGGGGUAGGGGUGAAAUCCUAUAAUCCCGGGAGGACCAUCAGUGGCGAAGGCUGUCGGCUGGAACGCGCUCGACGGUGAGGGAUGAAAGCUGGGGGAGCGAGCCGGAUUAGAUACCCGGGUAGUCCCAGCUGUAAACUUUGCAGGCUGGGUGUUGGUGCGGCUACGUGCCGCUCCGGUGCCGUAGGGAAACCGUUAAGCCUGCCGCCUGGGAAGUACGGUCGCAAGGCUGAAACUUAAAGGAAUUGGCGGGGGAGCACCACAAGGGGUGAAGCUUGCGGUUU